rnacentral:tRNA from 1 species
CCCGUGAUAGCUCAGUUGGUAGAGCGGAGGACUGUAGAUCCAGCAGGUCGCUGGUUCAAAUCCGGCUCGCGGGA